rnacentral:rRNA from 1 species
UACGGAGGGUGCAAGCGUUAUCCGGAUUCACUGGGUUAAAGGGUGCGUAGGUGGGUUGGUAAGUCAGUGGUGAAAUCCCGAGCUUAACUUGGGAACUGCCAUUGAUACUAUCAGUCUUAAUAUUGUGGAGGUUAGCGGAAUAUGUCAUGUAGCGGUGAAAUGCUUAGAUAUGACAUAGAACACCAAUUGCGAAAGGCAGCUCGCUGGGACGGUACUGAGCUGAGGCGCGAAGGCGUGGGGAGCGAAACGGG